rfam:Zootermopsis nevadensis contig30948, whole genome shotgun sequence.
GUUCUAGCGGUCAGAACACUGGUCUUGUAAACCUGGGGUCCCGGGUUCAAUUCUCGG